UUAACUAGUGAUGUAAAACAAUUGUAUAGGGAGUAGGAAUAAUAUUUAAUUCCGGAGAUGUAUGAAUUCGUCAAUCUACUAGAAGAAAUCCAGAGAGAAGAGGAAGGAAAGUGGAAUGAUUAACAGCAAAUUCUCAUUCAUACUGGGCACAGCCUGUGGAAUUUACAUAGCCCAGAAUUACAACCUUCCUAAUCUUCGCAACCUCUUCUACGCCGCCAUUCACAAAGCUAAGCAAAUCGAGCACAAUUACCGCAAGCCCAAGCCACGCGAUGACGAUCAAUAGAUGCCCACCAACUGUUUGUGCUAUACUGCCUGCAGAAGUUUUUUGGGAGGAAAUUUCAUACCGAAAACAGCCUGUGAAGAAGAAGAAAUGAAUAGGUAGGCUGGAAACGAGUAGGCAGCUCAGGCGGGACAAGGUAACGUCUUUCCUCGUAGCUACAAAAUAAACAUGGUUUAGCCAUCUAAGACUUGAUCACAGAUAACCCUUAUCCCCAACUUCAAACUAUAAGCAUGUACUUAUCUUUCUUUUCCUUUGCUUUUCAGCUUGUAAACCAUAAAGCAUUUCAUGUUGUUGGUAUGAUCUAUGCCUAAGAUGUAGUAUCAAUUUUUGUUUUUUACUUGGGCUAUUAAGUGAACAAUGAUGAUAUAUACAAUUGUAAUAUUCUUUAGUUUGAGUUUGAAUGUCACUAUUCUUUUACGAGAA